AUGUACCAGACCGGGCAAGGUGCUAAGGUAUUUCGGCAGCUUGGUGGGAAAUGGCGGUGAAAUUCCGCGACUGUGCCGCAGCCGUGAUUGGUGGGGCUGUGCCAACAAAUAUGCUUAGCCAGCCCUGAGCAAACCAUGAGUCGGAAUGCCUCCAAUCUGCUGGGGCGAUC
rnacentral:ncRNA from 2 species